ensembl:lncRNA
GAGAGAGAGAGAGAAUAGGAGCAGUCGCGGUUUUGAGCAUACCAUAAACGCACGUAGAGAAACAAGUGUGAGACAGUGAUAGGAUCGGGGCUGACACGGUGGCUGUAACCUUCACACACGCUAAAUCACGCAUGCGCAAAGACUCGAUAGUGAUCUAUGGAUAUGGAUCUCGAUAGAUCACUCACCCUGGUCGAUUACAAAAUAAAACCUAAUGGAAGGUGUACGACAGACGAGCAGAGCAGACCACAACUGUACGUAUUUUGAAGGAACAAUUUGUUCAAUGUGAAUCAAAAUAAUAUCCUACGUAGACCUAAUCUAAUCUAGUCUAUUAUAGUCCAUAAUUUAAAACUUGUGGACUAGAAGAAUUGAACGGAUUUGAGUGUGAUAGCAUCUAUACGGUUGCGAUCACUCGUACAUCAGCGGUUCUGCAGAGCGACGUGUCAGCUUCAUAAUUACUAAGGCCCUGUGACACAGGGCCAAAGGCUGCUCUCCAACAUUCACAUCCGCGUUGAUCUUCAGAACUCUUCAGUCGAGUACAUUUUCUUUAAUAGCCUACAACAUCAGAACAAUAUGUAUGCUUUUCUCUUUUUUCUUUCUCACUAUCCUUAGUGGACUAUCUCAAAGGCAACGGCUUUGUUAAGAGAGAGGAAAAUAGACUGUGUUUGUGUGUGUGUGUGUGUGUAUGAGGGGUGGCGUGAGUUCGACAAACUUUUUCCCCUAUAUUGGUGAAACUUUGAAGUAAAUCUUUGCGCCAUGUCUUCUAUUUCGUAUACAUUCUUUGUCUGCAGUCGUCUUUUGGACGCGAAAUGUCAUGUUAUCUUGUCAUAUAAUAAAAGAUCGUAAAAUAAAAUCAGAGACAGAAACAGACCUACCUUUAACCGUUGGGGGUUAGCGACCCAGCUACAGUAUAUCAAUAUAUAGAACUAUAUCAAUGUAUCUCAACAUUAUUGUCUCAGAAUGUCACAUAAGAAUAAACAAUAAAACCAUAAAUAGUUUUAUUUUCGGAGGUGGGUGAUUUCAGAAAGACGACCCGGGGGGCUUUUCCAGAAGAAUAUAAGCAUAGAUAUCUACAGAUUGUAAGUACAUUCAUUAUUUAGUUAAAUAUACAACAAAAAAAAAAUCUAUAUAUCAAAGCAAUAAAUAGAAAAAAAAAACUACCAAUGAAGCAUGUGGUAUUAUGUGUUGUAAGC